rnacentral:lncRNA from 1 species
CUUUAGUUGUUAAUAUGAACAUAUUAUUUCUGUAACUCAAAUAAUCAAAAUUCUGCAUACAUAUAUGUGCAUAUAUAUACACACAUAAUUUUGAGCAUACCAAGUCUUUUCCCUACAAUUAGUACAUAGCUUGUAAGUUUAGAACUAUAAAAUAGUUUUGAAUACCAUGAUUUUCAAUUGCAGGCAGUUGAGAGUGAAAAACUGAUUCAAUAGGGGCCCAAGCCAGCCUCAAAAAGCCCAAAGAACUGGAGGUGUCGGAGAGAGUUCUUCAUCCCCAAAUCCCCCAGAAGGAAUGUGAAAGUACUGAGAGGAACAGUGGAUUGCAAGUUGCUUGGAGUAGGACAAAGAGGAUGGAUAGUGACACUAGCCACUGUGGAAUCGGACAGGACUGUGGACACCCGUCAUUAUUUCUGGUUUAUCACAAAGGCUCAGGUAGCUAUCAGGAUUACACAGGCAUACCUGGAAAGGAAUUGGGCUUGGAGCAUGGUUGCGCCUGAAAAAGAAAUCUGUCAAUUACUGAACAAUGGCUAUCUGGAUAGUCAUAUGUCAGUAAAGAGCAUUCAAGGGAA